rnacentral:sRNA from 1 species
ACGGAGGAAACAGCUGGCCUGCGGUCGCAGC